rnacentral:rRNA from 1 species
CACGUAGGGGGCAAGCGUUGUCCGGAUUUAUUGGGCGUAAAGGGCUUGUAGGCGGCUUGGCAAGUCGGGUGUGAAAACUCCAGGCUCAACCUGGAGACGCCACUCGAUACUGCCAUGGCUAGAGUCCGGUAGGGGACCACGGAAUUCCUGGUGUAGCGGUGAAAUGCGCAGAUAUCAGGAGGAACACCGGUGGCGAAGGCGGUGGUCUGGGCCGGAACUGACGCUGAUGAGCGAAAGCGUGGGGAGCAAACAGGAUUAGAAACCCGAGUAGUCC